rnacentral:rRNA from 1 species
CCUACGGGAGGCAGCAGUGGGGAAUAUUGCACAAUGGGGGAAAGCCUUAUGCAGCGACGCCACGUGAGCGAUGAAGGCCUUCGGAUCGUAAAGCUCUGUCCGCGAGGACGAUAAUGACGGUACUUACGGAGGAAGCCACGGCUAACUACGUGCCAGCAGCCGCGGUAAUACGUAGGGGGCUAGCGUUAUCCGGAAUUACUGGGCGUAAAGGGAGCGUAGGGGGGUUGUUAAGUCAGAGGUGAAAGGCUACGGCUCAACCGUAGUACGCCUUUGAAACUGGGGAACUUGAGUGCAGGAGAGGAGAGUGGAAUUCCUAGGGUAGCGGUGAAAUGCGUAGAUAUUAGGAGGAACACCAGUUGCGAAGGCGGCUUGCUGGACUGUAACUGACACUGAGGCACGAAAGCGUGGGGAGCAAACAGGAUUAGAUACCCCUGUAGUC